rnacentral:misc_RNA from 1 species
AGUUAGGUUAGUGACUGUUGGUAGCCAAAAUAUCGUGCGCACGCGCUCAAAUCUAUCCCCUCCAAACCCACCCCCAGCGACCAGUUAAAAGAUCUUGAGGCGGUAACAACAGGGGAUAUGGUUGCAGCGCGUAUACCGAAUACUAUCAAAGCCCGUGUGUGGUGACUCUGUUUGUGACGUGGCUGUCUAUCUGUGUGUGGUAAUGUAGCACUAUUAGCAUUUUAAGAUGCUAUUGACAGUUUAGACCGAGAAACAUCAACGUUUCACCAGUGGUGACUUUUUGCUAUAAACGUGGACAUUCGGUCUGUUGUGCACGAGCGCCUCGAACACAAUGUUGCCUGGGCCAACCAAAAGUUUCUUUGCUCCGCUAACUCUCAUGAUUUUCGCCACGCUUCCACUAGCGGAAGGUGAAAUUCGAUGUUACUGCAAUCUUCCAUCUUGUGUUAACACAGGCUACAUGUGUAAAUCAUCGCAUAAUUUGUGUUUCUCCGACGUCGAGAACAGUGGCUACAGCAACGACCUCUCUCGGUCCCGCCACGGUUGUCUAGAACUAUUAAAUGAUCAGAAAAAGGCAUUGUGCCAAGUGAAGGCUCGUUCUCUGAAACUUUCUCCUGGGGCAUCAUUUAAAGUGUUUUGUUGUGAGAAAGACAUGUGUAAUUACGGCAGCAGUAUGGGUAUUAAUAUUCAAGUUCAUACUAGGCCUAACCACAGUUUAACUGAAGGAAUAUAUGAUUACGAUGAAGAAUUUUUACUUAAGACGAACAACAUUCGAGAAGGAUCGCUGGAGGGUGGACUCUGGUUUCGGGCUGCAGUGAUAGCUGUGCCUAUAGCAGGGAGUUUCAUUCUGAUCAUGUUAAUACUGCUGGCAGUUCGUAUGCUCAGGAAGGACUCUAAACGACAACAACGUCUAUUAGAACUUCGACAGCAGAGACAAUUUAAAACCCGUCUUUUAUUAGGGAAUUUUGGAUGUCGAGAAAACCGUAAAAAGUGCAAUGAGCAUAACACAGGAGGAGGCAGUGGAAGAGGAUUGUAUAAAAAUGUAAAUAUAGUGUUCUCACGUGAUAGUUGGAUUACUGACAUCAGCGACAAAACAAACAAUAUUUACGGCCCAGUGUCAUGGCCUAGUUGGAAACCUUUUAAGCCUAGCCCUAUAACUUUGGUAUAAUAUACAUUUCUUGCAACUAACGUGGUUAACGUGUUUGUAAAUCGCCGCCAUUAGCUCGUCCGCCCAUCACUAAGUAGUGGCUCGUAUGAUAAACGAAUGAUAAUGACAUUUUUUAAAAAGAUAUUUAUACGCACAAAUGAGUUUUCCAUUAGAAUUAGUUGUCAUUUAGUAUUUUUUGUACACUUUCCAAAAGCCAAAAACAUAUUUUCCUAAAAUACAUAUUUAUUGAGGUUCUACUAUUUCCCGAAUAGAUACUCGUUGUUACGUGGUAAAAAAAAUCAAGUCUGAAACCCAUUUUAAAAUGCGUAAGUAUUCAUUAAACACACACACACACACACAGUUUUAUUACAACUAAGCCUUCGUACCUAUUUUUAUAAAUUUUGAUUUUGCUAACAAUGAACGCAUGGUUGCCGAUAUUGUGAAUGUGGUGAUUUGGAGUCGACCCGUAUACUAAAUAUUAAUCCCCAGAAAAGUUCAGAAGUUUCAUAUGGCUGUAAUAUUUUACAGUAUUUUACUGUUAUAGACAUUAUUACACAUCAUACUGCUGAUAAGCCUUCAACGGGCUACAUCUGCCUGGAAUCUUCUUGGUCGACGUUUAGGCCACUAUUUUGCGGUCGUUUUUUUUCAGAUUUGAUGUUACACCAGUAUAUAUGUAUACCAAAAUGUUGUUCACAUUGUAUAUUCGAGUUUAUGGUCUUCGAUAUCUAUCAUCAUCAUUCACCCCUCUAGGUGAAAUAGGCGAGGAGGUUCAUUUGACCAAUGUUUAAAUUAGAUUGAUAUAGAAAAAAAAUUCGAUUAAAUAUUUAAGUAACAAUUAUUGAAGUUUCUAAACAUCGAUAAUACUUAUAAUUCUGCACGUGUCAAUUAUAAUGUGCUUUUUAAAAAGUUCGUUAUUUUACGAUAAAUGCGAAUUUUCUCUCCAAGAUGUCGCUCACAUAAAAACUUUGAAGGAUAUUGAAUUUUUUGAUUAUUUAAGGAACAAUUUCGUUUUAUACAUUUCCGCUUAAAAGUUGUGACAAAAUUUGCUGAUGAAAAUAUUUCUACGCAUAUGUGACCUUUUGAAUAAGAUCCCUGAAUGCGAGUUUUUUUUUCUAGUACGUGCAGGCGGGUGUUUUUUAUAUUAAUUUUCCAGCUUAAGCAUUUAAUUUUUAAACAGUGUAACUCAUUGUAGUUCACACUCAUGCUUAGUUACCAAACAUAUACUAAUUUUAAAAUAUUAGCUUUCAUAAUAUAUACAUGUAAAUAGUAUUAAAAAAAUCAAGAAAAUAUAUUUCUCACGCGUAGAUUGUAAUACGUUAAGCAUUUUCAGUUUGUGAUGAUCCAGAAGAAUAAAUACAGGCUGUAUUUAUUUAUGCAGAAAAAACAACAACAAUCAUUUCUGGGAUGAGGUGGUAUAACAAAUACGAUGUUACAUUGAAAUGAUUAAUAAAAGGUUAUUUUUCUAGCACAGCCUAAACUUCAAUGUGCUUUUGUAUAUAACUGUACAAUAUUUGUACCAAUUGUGGAAAACAGUUAGAAUGGGCUCUGUACGAUGUUAUUUAUUAAAAAAUAAAUUCCAUUUCUAAAAUA